rnacentral:rRNA from 1 species
GUUAGUGGCGAAAGGGUGAGGAAUAGAUAGGAACGUACCCUGUGCUCUGGGAUAGCGUCUGAAGCUUCGGCUUCUUCCGAAAGGGGCGGUAAUACCAGAUAAUGUCCUUCGGGACCAAAGAUUUAUCGGCAUUGGAGCGGCCUAUCUCCUAUCAGCUUGUUGGUGAGGUAACGGCUCACCAAUGCAACGACGGGUAGCGGGACUGAGAGGUUGGCCCGCCACAUCGGGACUGAGACACUGCCCGGACCUCCACGGAGGGCUGCAGUAACGGAUAUUGGGCAAUGGGCGAAAGCCUGACCCAGCAAUGCCGCGUGCAGGAUGAAGCCCCUAGGGGUGUAAACUGCUGUCAGGGGUCAGAAAGCUGGUUUCGGCCAGUUGAUCAACCCCAGAGGAAGUCACGGCUAACUUCGUGCCAGCAGCCGCGGUAAUACGAAGGUGGCAAGCGUUAUUCGGAAUCAUUGGGCUUAAAGGGCACGCAGGCGGAACAGUGUGUGUUGUGUGAAAUCCCCCGGCUUAACCGGGGAAUUGCACAGCAAACUGCUGUUCUUGAGGCAGGUAGGGGUGCAUGGAACUCUUGGUGGAGCGGUGGAAUGCGUAGAUAUCAAGAGGAACGCCAGAGGUGAAGACGGUGCACUGGGCCUGUCCUGACGCUGAGGUGCGAAAGCGUGGGGAGCGAACGGGAUUAGAUACCCCGGUAGUCCACGCCGUAAACGAUGUCUACUAGGUCGUGGGUGUUCUGACACAUUCACGGCCGGAGCAAAAGUGUUUAGUAGACCGCCUGGGGUAGUACGGCCGCAAGGUUAAAACUCAAAUGAAUUGACGGGGGCUCACACAAGCGGUGGAGCAUGUGGAUUAAUUCGAAGCAACGCGCAGAACCUUACCUGGGUUUGACAUGCUUGUAUGCCUUCUCUGAAAGGAGUUAGGCUGCCUUCGGGUGAAACUUGCACAGGUGCUGCAUGGCUGUCGUCAGCUCGUGUCGUGAGAUGUCGGGUUAAGUCCUUUAACGAGCGAAACCCUUGCCGUUAGUUGCCAGCGAGUAAUGUCGGGGACUCUAACGGGACUGCCGGUGUUAAACCGGAGGAAGGUGGGGAUGACGUC